rnacentral:piRNA from 1 species
UGCAACCCUAGAUCGAGGUGCAUGGC